AUCUGUGAAGCAGCUCCCCUGUCCUCCCUCGCGAUGAUGUGUGGAUGCUCCACACAGCUUGCUCGCGGGAGGACAGGGGAGCUGCUUCACAGAA